UGCAUGUAAGAGUGCAUAUAUAUCUUUUUGAGUUAAUGUUUGUGUUUUCUUCAGAUAAAUACCCAGAACUGGAAUUGCUGGAUCAUAUGGGAAUUUCAUUAUAAUUUUUUGAGGAACCUCCAUUCUGUUUUCCAUAGUGGCUGCACCAGUUUACAUUCCCACCAGCAGUGCACAAGGGUUCCCUUUCUCCACCUCCUCUCCAACACUUAUUUGUCUUUUUGAUAACAGCUAUUCUAAGAAAUGUGAGGUGGUAUCAUUGUGGUUUUGAUUUUCAUUUUCCCUGGUGAUUAGUGAUGUUGAGCACCUUUUCAUUUACCCACUGGCCAGCUGUUUGGCUUCUUUGGAUAAAUGUCUAUUCAAAUCCUCUUAUUUUUAAAUUGGAUUGUUUUUAUGCUAUUGAGUUGUAUGAAUUCUUCACAUAUUUUGGAUAUGAACCCUUCACUGUAUGUAUGAUUUGCAAAUAUUUUCUCCCUUUUAGUAGGCUGUCUUUUCGUUUUGUCGAUGGUUUCUUUUGCUGUGCAGAAGCUUUUUAGUUUGAUGUAGUCCCAGUUAUUUUUGCUCUUGUUGCCUUUGCUUUUGGCAUCAAAUCCAAAAAAAUCAUCACAAGACUGAUGUCAGGGAGCUUAUACUGCCUGUGUCUUCUAGGAUUUUUAUGGUUUCAGGCCUUAUAGUCAAGUCUUUAAUCCAUUUUGAGUUUAUUAAUUUUUCCAAUCCAUGAGCUUGGGGUCUGUCUUUAGUUUCUUUCAUCGGUGUCUGAUACUUUUCAGUGUACAGUUUUUUCACCUCCUUGGUUAUACUUAUUCCUAGGUGUUCUAUUCUUUUUGAUGUAAUUGUAAACGGGACUGUUUUCUUCUCUUUCUGAUAGUUCGUUAUUAGUGUACAGAAAUGCAACAAAUUUCUGUAUACUAAUUUUGUAUCUUACAACGUAAUUCAUUUAUUAGUAGUUAUUAGUAACAGGUUUUUGGUGGAGUCUUUAGGGUUUUUUUAUAUAUAAAAUCAUGUAAUCUGCAAAUAGUGACAGUUUUAUUUCUUCCUUUCCAACGUGGAUGCCUUUUAUUUUCUUGCCUAAGCGCUCUGGCUAGUACUUCCAAUACUAUGUUGAAUCCAUUUAAAAUUUGACAUAAAAAUCAAAGUGGUCCCAAGAAAGAGGUUUGAAACUAAAUACUGAGCACUCACUGAGUUUCUGAACCAACUCCUUCCUUUUUAUGAAGCCCCAUGUGAGUAAUGUAGGCAUUAGAAACAAUCCAAAGCUACUACUGCCACCUCAAAACUUAAGAGGCUUACACGGUAAUCAUUUUCUCUCAUGGUUUCUGUGGGUCAGGAAUUUUGGAAAGGCUUUACCUGGCAAUUAUGACUCAGGGCAUCAGAUGCACGUGCAGUUAGACAGUGGCUGGAGCUGGAAUAGGAGGUUGGAAUAGGGCUGGCCAUGCAUCUCUCUUUGCUUGUAGUUUCCAGGUCUCUCCACGUUGGUUGAUUUGGGCUUCCUCAUAGCAUGGUGGCUUCAGGAUUGUAGAACUUUUUACAUGGUGGCUCAAGGACUACCAGCUUGUGUGUUCCAACAAACCAGCCAUAAGCUGUGUUGCCUUUUACAACCUAGCCUUGGAUGCAUAUAGCAUUACUUUUGUCAUAUUAUCCAGUCACCUCUUGAUUUCGAGAAAGUCAGACUUUACUGACAUCUGAUUAACGGCCACAUCCACCCUCAAGAAGCCCAUCCUGUGUGGGAGGCAAGACAAGUCCAAAUGACACCAAGACAAUAUCAAAAGGUAAGCUGUUGCACGUAGAGGGCCAUGGGAGCUCAGGGGAAAGGAAAGGCAUUACGGAGGUGGCCUUUCAGCUAGUUCUUAAACCAGAUUUCAACAUUUUCAAGGGCAUUAAGCAAGGCCCAGGAGCAACUAAUGGUUGGUGAACAACAGCAAGUGAUUGCUUGAUUGCAAGCAGAGGUGGCUAAAGGGGAGGAAUAGCAAAGAGGCCAGAAAUGCGGGCCAGAUCAAGGAAUGCCCAACUAAGACGCUUGGAGAGGGGAAGGUAGGCAGAAAAGUAAAUGUUCCUCUCCCUUCCAGACAUAAUUACCAUAGGAGAGAUGGUGGACUUUCCUUCUCGGCAAUGGCAAGACCUACCCCUGCUCCACCUCCUGAAUGUGGCAUUACAUCAAUCUCCAACUUGGACUAGUAUCAGUUCUUGCAACAGAAAAAUGUGAAACUGCAGAAACACCUAAUUCACGGACCAGUUUAAUUCGAUUCUACUGGAAUGCGAGGCCAAAUGUUUGACUUCCCUCAGGAAGGCAACAUGAGUUAAGAAAAUAGCACUUCAUGGAAUAUUCCCAAAGGGCCCAAUUUGAUAACUGACAAAGAAAAUGAUAUUUUUCCAGACACCAAAGUGUAUGCUCCUCCACGGAGAAGACAACUUUGCUAAACUUUGGGGAAAGAGAAAAGAUAAAGCUGGGUUCUGCAUCAUGAAAAAGACUCCAGUAGUACUAAUACCUGCUAAGUCUUGCCUCUAAGUCUACUCAGAAGAGAUGCUCAAAGAAGAACAAGCAAGGACCAAGGCUGUCUGCACCAUGAAUACCUAUCUUCAUCUUUCUAAAGCUGCACUAUCCAGUACAGUGGCUACUAGCCUCAUGUGGCCAUUUAAAUUUAUUAAAAUUAAAUAAAAUUUAAAACUCAGUUUCUCAGACAUAAUAGCCACAUACAGUUAGUGGCUACCAUACAGAACAGCACAGAUAUAGAACAUUUCCAUCAUCAAAGAAACUACUAUUGGAUACUGCUGUAAAGGUUAAACGUAAGUGUGCCCUCUGUUCUGAAAGCCACAGAAACUGGGCUGGAGAGACACUAAUGGGCUGUAUUAUCUGGGUCAAUUCCUUUCCUAUUUCUAGGUGUCCUUUCCUAUUUCUACACCAUCUAAGUCAUGUUUUCACUAGUUCAGCGAUUCUCAAGAAGGAAUAAUAAUGCUGACACUGUGGUAACAUAGAAGCAUGUUGCUAUUUCUAGUUGUACAAUAAAAUAUUUAGGCAUGAUG